AACGAACGCUCGCUGUAUGCUUAACACAUGCAAGUCGAACGUGGUCUUCGGGUCGAGUGGCGCACGGAUGAGCAACUCCUAGGUAACUGGAGCUUGUUUCGGCCAGACUUACCGAAAAGUUUGCAACAACCGGACAAUCGGUUGGGACAAAAGAAUUAAUGUGGUUGAAUGGGCCUGCCUUAGACUAGCUAGUUGGCAGGGUAAAAGCCUACUAAGGCGACGUUGCAUAGCUGCUCUGAGAGGGUGAUCAGCCACACUGGGACUGAGACACGGCCCAGACUCCUACGGGAAGCAGCAGUGGGGAAUAUUGGACAAUGGGCGAAAGCCUGAUCCAGCAAUGCCGCGUGAGUGAUGAAGGCCUUAGGGUUGUAAAGCUCUUUUACCCGGGAUGAUAAUGACAGUACCGGGAGAAUAAGCGCCGGCUAACUCCGUG
rnacentral:rRNA from 1 species